rnacentral:rRNA from 1 species
GAUGAACGCUGGCGGCGUGCCUAAUACAUGCAAGUCGAGCGAACAGACGAGGAGCUUGCUCCUUUGACGUUAGCGGCGGACGGGUGAGUAACACGUGGAUAACCUACCUAUAAGACUGGGAUAACUUCGGGAAACCGGAGCUAAUACCGGAUAACAUGUUGAACCGCAUGGUUCAACAGUGAAAGACGGUCUUGCUGUCACUUAUAGAUGGAUCCGCGCCGCAUUAGCUAGUUGGUAAGGUAACGGCUUACCAAGGCAACGAUGCGUAGCCGACCUGAGAGGGUGAUCGGCCACACUGGAACUGAGACACGGUCCAGACUCCUACGGGAGGCAGCAGUAGGGAAUCUUCCGCAAUGGGCGAAAGCCUGACGGAGCAACGCCGCGUGAGUGAAGAAGGUCUUCGGAUCGUAAAACUCUGUUAUUAUGGAAGAACAAAUGUGUAAGUAACUAUGCACGUCUUGACGGUACCUAAUCAGAAAGCCACGGCUAACUACGUG